rnacentral:misc_RNA from 1 species
GAUGAAGAACGUAGCGAAAUGCGAUAAGUAAUGUGAAUUGCAGAAUUCAGUGAAUCAUCGAAUCUUUGAACGCACAUUGCGCCCGCCAGUAUUCUGGCGGGCAUGCCUGUCUGAGCGUCAUUUCAACCCUCACGCCCCUAGGGCGUGGUGUUGGGGAUCGGCCAAAGCCCGCGAGGGACGGCCGGCCCCUAAAUCUAGUGGCGGACCCGUCGUGGCCUCCUCUGCGAAGUAGUGAUAUUCCGCAUCGGAGAGCGAUGAGCCCCUGCCGUUAAACCCCCAACUUUCCAAGGUUGACCUCAGAUCAGGUAGGAAUACCCGCUGAACUUAAGCAUAUCAAUAAGCGGAGGA